UCAUUGUUCAUUCCAGGCCAGAAAAUUGACUCUCUCGCUCUUCUCUUGGUUUUAGUCAUUCUUUGAUGCAACGAAUUUAGUUUAGCAAGGAUGUCUCACUGACAAGCUUUAGGAACAACAAUUCAUGUUCCUUUCAAUACUAAACCGUCCUCAACAGCUAAUUCUUCGAUCAUAUUCUUAAAUAAUCUUACGAUCAUCUACUGGAGCUCGUGACAAAGCAUUUCUUAUAAUAUGGUAUUUUCAUUUAUUCCAAUGGUUCACUAACAUUGGAUAUCCAAAGAAUCUUUGAGCUGGUAAUGCCGAAGGCACAUUCUAAUUUUCUAUACUAUGGCUUUUUUCAAUUUGGUUUAAAGAAUAGUUAUUGAAGAUAAUCCAGAGAGAAUGAUGAUAAGCUAUUACUUCGAAGUCCCGUAGUCCAGUCCAAGACCUUUUAACCUGGAUGCAUCCGUUUUGAGGGGUGUUUCCUUCUUCAGAUCGAAAAUGACGAGGAUAGGGUUAUUUGUCAAUAUGUCUUUUACUUCUUCCAUAGCUUUAGUAUGUGUAUUGUUCCAUAUAAAUUCAUUGAUCGCCUAUAACUUCCUUUCAUCCGAUGCUAUCCCAUCUUUACAAAUUUUAUAGGCAACCAAAUUGAUUUUCUUCACGUGCCAAUUUAAAUUUCUCCUGCUCAGCGUAAUAUCAUAUUCUCUAUAUCUUAAUAAUAUUUUUCGUUCACUUUCAACAUGUCAUUCGAAAUUUUCAUAAUCCAUAAGGACGUCAUCAACAACUUUAUGAGUAUUAGAAUUCCUUCUAAUACCUGAUCGCAUGUACAAUUAUAUCUAUCACCAGUAGAAAUGACACACAUUAAUGCUCUCUUCAAAUAAAAUUUACAACACUGUA
rnacentral:lncRNA from 1 species